rnacentral:rRNA from 1 species
UGGGGAAUAUUGGACAAUGGGCGAAAGCCUGAUCCAGCCAUGCCGCGUGUGUGAAGAAGGUCUUCGGAUUGUAAAGCACUUUAAGUUGGGAGGAAGGGCAGUAAGCGAAUACCUUGCUGUUUUGACGUUACCGACAGAAUAAGCACCGGCUAACUCUGUGCCAGCAGCCGCGGUAAUACAGAGGGUGCAAGCGUUAAUCGGAAUUACUGGGCGUAAAGCGCGCGUAGGUGGUUCGUUAAGUUGAAUGUGAAAGCCCCGGGCUCAACCUGGGAUCUGCAUCCAAAACUGGCGAGCUAGAGUAGGGCAGAGGGUGGUGGAAUUUCCUGUGUAGCGGUGAAAUGCGUAGAUAUAGGAAGGAACACCAGUGGCGAAGGCGACCACCUGGGCUCAUACUGACACUGAGGUGCGAAAGCGUGGGGAGCAAACAGG